GAUGAACGCUGGCGGCGUGCCUAACACAUGCAAGUCGAACGGAGUCCAGCCUUUAAGACCUUCGGGUCAAAGAGGGGAAGACUGAGUGGCGGACGGGUGAGUAACACGUGGGCAACCUGGCUCAUAGAGGGGGAUAACAGAGAGAAAUUUCUGCUAAUACCGCAUAAGCACACACUGCCGCAUGGCAGAGGGUGAAAAGAGAAUCGCUAUGAGAUGGACCCGCGUCUGAUUAGCCAGUUGGCAGGGUAAGAGCCCACCAAAGCGACGAUCAGUAGCCGAUCUGAGAGGAUGAACGGCCACAUUGGGACUGAGACACGGCCCAAACUCCUACGGGAGGCAGCAGUGGGGGAUAUUGCACAAUGGGGGGAACCCUGAUGCAGCGACGCCGCGUGAGUGAAGAAGUAUUUCGGUAUGUAAAGCUCUAUCAGCAGGGAAGAUAAUGACAGUACCUGAAGAAGAAGCCCCGGCUAACUACGUG
rnacentral:rRNA from 1 species